rnacentral:rRNA from 1 species
UACGGAGGGUGCAAGCAUUAAUCGGAAUUAUUGGGCGUAAAGAGUGCGUAGGCGGUCUAGUAAGUCAGGUGUGAAAUUCCGGGGCUCAACUCCGGACCUGCACUUGAAACUACUAGACUAGAGGAUAGACGGAGAAAACGGAAUUCCACAAGUAGCGGUGAAAUGCGUAGAUAUGUGGAAGAACACCGGUGGCGAAGGCGGUUUUCUAGUUUAUUCCUGACGCUGAGGCACGAAAGCGAGGGGAGCAAACAGG